rnacentral:lncRNA from 1 species
CCUUUAAAAUGCCAAUAACAGAUAAAGAACUGGAUCUUUUUUCUCUUUUGGAUACCUAAAAAACAUAAAUAUGUUGAUAUUGCUGCUUAUUGUAACCCAGAUUUGGUUUUUUCUCAAUCGAUUUAUGAAUUUUAAACAGUGGUAUAUUUAGAGUCCUGCAUACAUUAAAAGCACAUUUAAUACAAAUUAUAUUUCACACCCAUCCAUAGUGGCAAAUUAAAGUUGCCUUCCCUGGUCCCCAUGUAUGAUUUUAUGGAACAGCCCUCUUUACUUUUUUCUAUUUACUGGCUAAUUUUGUCUUUUUAUACCAAGGCAAAGAUGAAAAAAAUGCAGUUAUUUAUUGGUAUUACGUCCUCGUUGUCCAAGACACUUAGUUUGCGGACAAUAACUUUAUGAAAUUUAAAUACAAGGUUUGAAACCACAAAAGGAAGGUUGGUUAGUUACCAGACAAUAACUUGUGUGUUAGUGUAUGGAUCUUUCUGAAAUUGUACCACAAGGUUCCAUACCAAAAAAGGAAGGUUCAGAUUGAUUUUUGGAGUUAUGACUCUUAACUGUUUAAGAAUUAGGGGCCAAAAACAAUACUUUUCUUAUACUUUGUAUAAAUUGCUCAUUUUUUGACCAAUUUCAAUGGGGU